CCUACGGGUGGCAGCAGUGGGGAAUAUUGCACAAUGGGCGCAAGCCUGGUGCAGCGGUGCCGCGUGUGUGAAGAAGGCCUUCGUGUUGUAAAGCACUUUCAGCGGGGGGGAAGGCGUUAAGGUUAAUAACCUUGGCGAUUGACGUUACCCGCAGAAGAAGCACCGGUUAACUCCGUGCCAGCAGCCGCGGUAAUACGGAGGGUGCAAGCGUUAAUCGGAAUUACUGGGCGUAAAGCGCACGCAGGCGGUCUGUCAAGUCGGAUGUGAAAUCCCCGGGCUCAACCUGGGAACUGCAUUCGAAACUGGCAGGCUAGAGUCUUGUAGAGGGGGGUAGAAUUCCAGGUGUAGCGGUGAAAUGCGUAGAGAUCUGGAGGAAUACCGGUGGCGAAGGCGGCCCCCUGGACAAAGACUGACGCUCAGGUGCGAAAGCGUGGGGAGCAAACAGGAUUAGAUACCCGUGUAGUC
rnacentral:rRNA from 1 species